GCAGGCAGGCAGGAGAUGUCCACUGGAGGAGGCACCAGACUGUCAACCCGCUGACAGCAGAAGGCCUUCUGUGAUAAAAGAAGCCUGCUGCUCGCCUGAACCGGAGACCCUGGGAGGGCCACAGAGGAAGCCAGACGUAACACAAAUAUUCCUGAGGAGCUCGUGCCUCUGGAAUUCCAUUGUGCCACCUGUUAGCGUAAUAAGAGAGCCCCAGAAGUAAGGAGGGGCGAUGACUGAGGACCCCUGGGGCAGGACCGCCAUCGAGACCUGCAGCAUCGCACUGGGAGAGGGUGGAGCGCACCUGAAAGCACAACAAUGUUCACAUUUCCAAAGAACUGGACUAUCACAGGACAGACGUUUCAGGCCUCGCAGGCGCUGUUGUCUGAGAUAUUUGCAGGAAUUACUACAGUAAGGUCACGUAAGAGAGUUGACGAAUCAGAGUGAGGUACCCGGCCCAUCGAUGGAUCCUAGGAGCGAAUUGAUCCCAGAACUGCAUCCAGACAGCUCUUGAAUGGAAGAGUGCCACUACCCUCUGUCCUGCUGUAACUAACUACUCACUGUACAAACCUCUGGCUCUAGAUUCUGUGCGGUGUUUGAAAUGGCUACAGGGGUACACUUUCUUGGGACCUUUGAAACGUUGAUCAAGUCUCUCCUAACUCUUCCCAUCCCCUGUACAAAGUUAAUGAAGCAGUGUCUGUAUGUGUCAAGAUUUGUAAUGUGUUCAGGUCAUUAUUUUAAAGUGAGUUUGCUUUGCUCUUUCAGUUUGGAGCUUUGAACCGCUAAUGGUUAUGAGUCUACAAAAGUUAAAAAAUAAAAGCUGAGAAGCCGUUUCAGUUUUGGAAAAUCAACCGGCUUGCUGUUCAAUGUUCCAAUCUAAAUAUUUAACUCUAUUUGAUUGUUCCUUAACCUAAACCUCAUGAAAGUGGGGCUGGCUGGCAACCCCACCAUAGAUUGUUUGGUUAUUUUGGGACGGGUACCUAAAUCACACAGACACACACGCACACACACACACACACACACACACACACACACACACACCCACACACACAC